rnacentral:tRNA from 1 species
GGUUAUGGCUUGGGGGUAGAGCACUUGCCUAGCAUGCAUGAGGUACUGGGUUCAAUCCUCAGCACCA